CACGGAGGACACGUCUGCAGUGGCAUUUAGCGUGAAAUGUUGCUUUCACACAAAAAAACAUACAUUCUCAGGAGCUUUUAGAAAAGUUCAACAGUCAACCAAAAAGUUUUACUUGACAACAGCGAGAAAGCAACCAGUCGACGGCUCUUUAGUUUAACUCUAGCAUGCGGGUUUCCUGCAGUGACUGGUGUCUGUAAGAUUAUAAUUCACAUCUAAACAAAGUUCCUCUUAAGGUAAUUCAGCAAUUCGAGUUUAGGAGACAUGAUUAAAGUGGUGUGAUGAGACUGACGACAUGAAACUGCUUGUUUUAUUCACCAGCUUUGAGUUAAAUAUAUAAACACUAUAUUUCUUUCAACACCGCGUUAUACAUUUAGUUUGCUCUUUUUAAAUGCGUGUGACUGAUAUUUGUAAUGGUAUUAAAAAGUUAAUUUUUGCUUCAUCACAGGUGGUUGAAUUCAGCGGUGGGCAGGACUAACUCAAAAGCCAUAACCCCAUUGGUUGAGAUGUGAUUAAUAGCCGACACCUGUCAGAGAUUAGCGUGACAAACAAGAAGCUGCUGAACGUGUGAGUCCAGAGAGAAGUCGUCUUUGAAUGUGAGCUGCUGGGGGUCACGAGAAGGAUUCUUCAAUGAGGGGAGCAAUGGCUGAUCCCUUAUUUGCCUUUUGAACUUUUUCUGCAUGCAGUGAAGUGCACUUUUCUGUCGUAGUGCACCUUCUGUUACAGAGGUUUUCGAUCCUGUUUCUGGGCACCCACAGCGCUACACUUUUUGCAUGUCUCCCUAAUUUACACACCAGACCUAAUUCAGAUCAUUAGGAAAGGGCUCCAUGAACUGAAAUGAGUGCGUCAGACGAUGGAGACAUGCAAAAUGUGAAUAGCAGUGGGUCCCCAGGAUCAGGAUUGAAAACCUCUGAUCCUACAGCUCGGACCCAUUCUAUGGGUAAAUGCUUUGAUGGGCUAUUUGUUUAAACGAGUGCCUUUCGUUACAGAAUGAUCAAUGCAGUGUGUGUGUGCGCACAAUAAAAGGGUAAAUGUGA